rnacentral:rRNA from 1 species
UACGUAGGGUGCGAGCGUUGUCCGGAAUUAUUGGGCGUAAAGAGCUCGUAGGCGGUUUGUCGCGUCGGCCGUGAAAUCUCCACGCUUAACGUGGAGCGUGCGGUCGAUACGGGCAGACUUGAGUUCGGCAGGGGAGACUGGAAUUCCUGGUGUAGCGGUGAAAUGCGCAGAUAUCAGGAGGAACACCGGUGGCGAAGGCGGCGAUCUGGGUCGAUACUGACGCUGAGGUGCGAAAGCGUGGGGAGCAAACAGG